rnacentral:rRNA from 1 species
AGUGAACGCUGGCGGCGUGCCUAAUACAUGCAAGUCGAACGGAGAUUAAGUAGCUUGCUAUUUAAUCUUAGUGGCGCACGGGUGAGUAAUAUAUAGCUAACUUGCCCAUUACUAAGGGACAACAGUUGGAAACGACUGCUAAUACCUUAUACUCCGUAUCUAUAUAAGUAGAUACGGGAAAGUUUUUCGGUAAUGGAUAGGGCUAUAUCGUAUCAGCUAGUUGGUAAGGUAACGGCUUACCAAGGCUAUGACGCGUAACUGGUCUGAGAGGAUGAUCAGUCACACUGGAACUGAGACACGGUCCAGACUCCUACGGGAGGCAGCAGUAGGGAAUAUUGCUCAAUGGGGGAAACCCUGAAGCAGCAACGCCGCGUGGAGGAUGACACUUUUCGGAGCGUAAACUCCUUUUCUUGGGAAAGAAUUAUG